CCCUCCUCCACCUUAAGUGAAAUGUUCAUCUUGUCAUCCCCUCCCCCACCCCAAAAAGCACUCAUAAAAUGAAAGAAGAUGCCCACAUUUUACUGCAGCACUCAACCUCAAUGCUAUGCCUGAGAAUCUACAGACAGACCUAUCACUUUAAUGUGUUGAAUUAUGAGGAAAAAGAAAAGCUAACAAACAUUUCCAAUACUAAUUUCCUGCUCCCAAAGCUUUAACCACUCAAUAAAGCAAAAAAAGGAAUAUUCUACACCACAGAAUACAGUGAAUUCAAACCAAACUGGGAUAGGUACUCCCUGGUUUAACCUUCAAGAAACUGCAGCUCCUCUUCAAUCACGAUCAGCAACUUUUUUCUAGUCCUGGCAGCAUUUAAAGAGUAACAACUGUUAAACUGUGAUCACUUGGCUGCCUAUCAUCACUAGAGGCUAUAUUCAUUCUAAACUUGCA
rnacentral:lncRNA from 1 species